ACGGGUGAGUAACGCGUGGGAACGUGCCCUUCGGUUCGGAAUAACUCAGGGAAACUUGAGCUAAUACCGGAUACGUGCGAGAGCAGAAAGGUUUAUCUGCCGAAGGAUCGGCCCGCGUCUGAUUAGCUAGUUGGUGAGGUUACGGCUCACCAAGGCGACGAUCAGUAGCUGGUCUGAGAGGAUGAUCAGCCACACUGGGACUGAGACACGGCCCAGACUCCUACGGGAGGCAGCAGUGGGGAAUAUUGGACAAUGGGGGCAACCCUGAUCCAGCCAUGCCGCGUGAGUGAUGACGGCCUUAGGGUUGUAAAGCUCUUUUCUCCGGGACGAUAAUGACGGUACCGGAGGAAUAAGCCCCGGCUAACUUCGUGCCAGCAGCCGCGGUAAUACGAAGGGGGCUAGCGUUGCUCGGAAUCACUGGGCGUAAAGGGCGCGUAGGCGGCUGAUUUAGUCGAGGGUGAAAGCCCGUGGCUCAACCACGGAAUGGCCUUCGAUACUGAUUGGCUUGAGACCGGAAGAGGACAGCGGAACUGCGAGUGUAGAGGUGAAAUUCGUAGA
rnacentral:rRNA from 2 species